GGGGGCGAUCGGAUUCGACUGGUUCUCCGCGGGUGCAGGUUGCGUGUCGUGGUUGAUCAGUUGGCCACGUAAAAAGCUGAUCAAACAAUAACUGCCAACAAGCAGUACGCUCUGGCUGCCUAAAGCGGCCACCGGUCCGUGAGCUCCGUCUGAAGCGAGCGGGUUGCCGGUCACCCUUCAGACUGGUUUCGAGCUAACUCCGCCGCAAGGCGGGGGCCGACGGCAACUCUCGAAACGAGAACACAUGGCUGUCUGGCUGACGUCCGGGUUUGUUUGUCGUUCCGGCCGGCAGUGAGAUCAAACGACGGAAUACACACGUAGACGCCGCAUCUCAGGGCUCUCAGGACGCGGGUUCAAUUCCCGCCGCCUCCAC
rnacentral:tmRNA from 1 species